UACAGAGGGUGCAAGCGUUGUUCGGAAUUAUUGGGCGUAAAGCGCGUGUAGGCGGCAUGGCAAGUCGGGUGUGAAAGCCCUCAGCUUAACUGAGGAAGUGCGCCCGAAACUGCCGUGCUUGAGUGCCGGAGAGGGUGGCGGAAUUCCCCAAGUAGAGGUGAAAUUCGUAGAUAUGGGGAGGAACACCGGUGGCGAAGGCGG
rnacentral:rRNA from 1 species